rnacentral:lncRNA from 1 species
AGGGCUCAGAGAUGUGACAGAGAAUACCGGGCCUGAAGGCUCGGUGAGAGGAUAAAGUGUCAUGAUGCGGUGGAAAGCUUUUCACUUUUUAGUGACAUAUCAAUAACAACUCUUCGGUUCAGCUGUGCACAAGAGAAAGGGCCUUGGAUGGCGUGAUGGCACAUGCUUAUGAUCCCAAUGCUCAGAAGGACAGCUGCAGGAUUGAGGCUAUCAUGGGCUAUAGAGGCUAUCACGGGCUAUGGACAGGCCACAGGGAGCCCUGGUGACCUUCUAACAUGUGGUGACUGCAAACCCUCAUUGACAUAGUGCUGUGACAUCACUGAAGCGCUUCCUGAGGAGCUGAAAGGACCAAGCAGAACCCACAGGAGCAUCUAGCCCAAGGCAACUGUGUUGCCAACUUUCAGUUGUGGCAGCACGUGUCUGAGAUAAACAGCUGAAAACAAGGAGAGUUUCCGAUGGGUUCCUAGUUCUGAAGUUUCAGUUCGUGAUCUGUCGGUUUCGUUGGUUCGGGUCUGUAAUGGACGCUCCGGAGGGAGCACGAGGCACAAGAGGUCUGUUCGUUUCCUGGUGGCCAGCAAGCAAAGACAGCAACCGCAGGCGCUGAAGUCCCAGUGUUCCCUUCCAGGGUGCAACCUCUUGGUCUCACUCUCAGCAGCGUCAAGCCUUUAAAACAUGUGCCUUUGGGAGACACUGAAGAUCCAAACCAUAACUGUCAGAGAGGCGAUGAGGCCCCCGACCCGACAGCCUGGGCUUCUCUGCGCGUGUCCAACUUUCCCUCAGCCUGUGGCUGACCUGAUCACUGAUCUUCCAAGCAGAAUUUAGUCCAUCAAGAAUAAGACAUGCCCAGAGCUACAUAAUUAGAGAAAGCAGGCUCACCUCCACUGAGGAAGAGGCCAGCAGUUUGUGCUUGUUGGGAGCUGUCUUCUAGUCGCUUAACCGCAGCGGUGGAUCCAACUCGGCAAGCGAGAUUCCUAGUGAGAGCCAACUGCGAGUGUUUAGCCUUGGCUGCUCAGACUGUGUGUGGAAAAGCAUUUCCUGACCUGGAGUGGAAAAGAGCUAUGAUCAGCUAGUAAUGGCAGCCAUCAAAGAGGCCGGGCGUGGUGUAGGGAGAGCUGUGGACUUGGCCGUUGGGGUUUCUGUGCACUUUGGUCCUGGCCCUGGCUUUUGAGAAUCUUCUCUUUCUGCUAUGACCCACACUUCCCACAGCAGCUGCCCAGGAAGGCUCACUCUGAAGACUCCACCGGCUCCUAUUCCUGGAAGCGAUUUCUCCUCCUCGUUUGAUGUGAGGUUUAGCACGUAAGUGGUCAUAGUGGCAUUUUACCUUGUGACUGAGUGUGGCCUCAGAAACCCAGCCAGCCUGUGGGCUGGAUGCUUUUCUGGCUCUGAAUGCUUCCAUUCUGGCUAAACCUACAAGUCAUAUCGCCAGCAGGCUGUCAGUUUGUUAAAAAACACGGUACAGGAAGGUACAACUUUGCACAUACUCACUGUUGUCUUUCUCCAAAACAUUCCAUUCUCUUAAGUUCCAGGGAGCCCUGUGGACAGACUUACACACGGGUGUUAGUCUAGGGAUAAAGGGACCACAGGUGAUGUCAGCACUGUAGAUCAAAAGCACAAUUAACAGGAGCCUUGAAACCAAGACAACUGGAGAAGCUGUGAGUCUGGGCGGAUCACCUCCUUGGGUAGUGGUCUCAGCAGGGUGCUACCAUUGUCUGAGAUUCGGAUAACUGUGAGAGCUUAUGUCUAUCGUCAGGAUCCUUGUCUGUCUGUCUGUCCUUACCUGUCCACAUCCAUCCAGCCUGGUCUCUUUUUGAUGGUCCUGGUCUUUUGUUUGUUUGUUUGUUUGCAUUGAGGUGUUGAAAAUACCAAUGGUAAGUUUUUACAUUCGAGACUUUUUUGUUGAUGGUGUUCCAAAUUCAUCUUAUGGAAAUAGCAAGAGAACUCUAACCAGUCUCUCUACACCUAGAAGGGCUUCACCCACAACUGGAAUGUACUCAACACCUCCUCUUCCCAUUAGAAAGUGAUAAAACCCCCUCUGCAGCCUGAGGCUUCUGGCUAUGUGACUGUGACCUUAUGUAAAGGUCAGGGGACACAUUUGUAGAGUUUUCUCCCUCUUUCCAUCUUCACUUGUGUUCAGGGGAUCAAACUGGGGUGUCACAGCCAUCUUCGCAGCCUGACCCCAUGAGUCUAUGUUUAUUUUGUGUCAGAUGACACUCCUGUGUCUUUCGAUGGGUCUGAUCUCUCAGCUGGCAGAGAAUUCUGCUUCCUACUGAUCACCAUUAAAGGCAGCUGUGGUCUCGCUG